UAUUAGGUUCUUCGGUGUGACGGGGGAAAUUUCGCAGGCAGGCUAAAGGGCUCCCCGGUUUAAAAGUGAGCAGGGCUCUCCAUGUAUGGGACUGUGGUCCUGAUUCGAAGCCACGGCGCCAGGGCCGUAUAUGGAGAGUCUAUGAUUUGUAAGACACCCUCGUGGCACAGCAAACUACAACUGCAUACAGGAUCCCGGUUGGAAAGCCCUUAUCGAGGAGCGCAACUGUAUAGCCAUAUAGGAACGACAACAAGAAGGAAAGAAGGAGGACCUGAGCCCCAGGACCAUGCCUCUGGACUACCUGGCAUGAUGACUCCUUGCUGUCCCCAGUCCACCUGGCCGUGCUGCUUCUCCAGUUUCAACUGUUCUGCCUGCGGCUAUGGAAUCCUGACCUGUUCACCGGAUGUGCUACCUGUCCCAGACCUGCUGUUUUCAACUCUCUAGAGACAGCAGGAGUGGUAGAGAUACUCUUAAUCAUCGGCUAUGAAAAGCCAACUGACAUUUACUCCUGAGGUGCUGACUUGCUGCACUCUCGACAACUACUGUGAUUAUUAUUAUUUGUCCUUGCUGGUCAUUUAUGAACAUUUGAACAUCUUGGCCAUGUUCUGUUAUAAUCUCCACCCGGCACAGCCAGAAGAGGACUGGCCACCGCUCAUAACCUGGUUCCUCUCUAGGUUUCUUCCUAGGUUUUGGCCUUUCUAGGGAGUUUUACCUAGCCACCGUGCUUCUACACCUGCAUUGCUUGCUGUUUGGGGUUUUAGGCUGGGUUUCUGUACAGCACUUUGAGAUAUCAGCUGAUGUACGAAGGGCUAUAUAAAUACAUUUGAUUUAAUUGGCCACAGAUAAAAUGACCUCAAAUCACGUUAUAUGUACAGUAGCUUUGAUUGGACUGAUCAUGUCAACAUCUUACUUUCUUAGCUAGCAGUCAUCAUCAUGAAUCAAGUCGACAAUCUACUGGCAAAUCCUUUUUAAUCCUUGUCAUAUGAAUAGAAAUUAUAGCUAAAAUGUAUCGGUGCUCAUCGGUCAUUGGACAUAAAGAUUACACAACAAAUUCAACAAUGAGUCAUUUGGAAGGAAUCAGUGGCUAACUGCAAGCAUUGCAAAGCAACCACUAAUGUUAGCCUGCUAUUCAAUGGAGUGGCUGUGUUUUUUUCCCAGAGUUCCCACCACAAAUCCAGAGAAUGCCAGACUUUGAUGCCAAAGUUUGAUGCCAAAAUUUGCCCACAAAGGCCCGCUGCACCACCUUCACAAGGUGAGUCCAAAAAUAUAUUGUAUGUUGCUGCAUAAUAUGCAACGGAGAUAUGUAUAUUGUAGCUAAGAAGGUAAUACGGUAUUGUAAACACACCGUUCAUGGCCUGGUGUGUGCUUGUUAGCAAACUUUUUUUGUACAGCUUUGACAGUGCUGCUGAUUGUAGUGGGGGCGCUUGGCUUGCACGUGCAAAUUCAGCACACACAACAUUCUAUAAUAGAAUUGUGUCAUUUGAUGUGUCAAAUUAAAAGCUUAUUUAACGUGUCAAAUAGUGUUAUAUGACGUGUAUGUUUUUUGACACGCAAAGACCCAAACGGCAUUCAAUGUGCUUCACCCUAACAAUUCAAUCUAUUUUCACCUCUUCAUUUUGCCUACUGUUCUAACUUGGGGGUGCACAUGUAGCCUAUAACCUGUUUUUCGAGAAAUGUAAUCAUUGAAUAUUGGAAGAGCUUUCAUUGUCUGUUUAUAUGCCCCCUUUAUUUAUCCUAUGGUUCUGACUUGUUGUACAAGGAGAACACUGUAAGAACGGCCCAUGUUCUGAAUUCUGUCGCUGUACAUUUCAAAAGUGCUCAACAAAUAGUUAUAUUGACUACUUCUGUCGUCGCUCUCUCAUUAAUGUCUUAAUCUAAAUUAUCUUAUCCGCUUGUCAUCCCCUUAUGCCAUAGCUUGUACAUCUCAGUUGUCAGUAGAAAACACAUUUGUUUAAGCAAGUCAGCAAUAUCAGCUACACUACCGGUCAAAAGUUUUAGAACACCUACUCAUCCAAGGGUUUUUCUUUCUUUUUACUAUUUUCUACAUUGUAGAAUAGUAGUGAAGACAUCAAAACUAUGAAAUAACACAUAUGGAAUCAUGUAGUAACCAAAAAAAGUGUUAAACAAAUCUAAAUAUAUUUAUUAUUUGAGAUUCUUCAAAUAGCCACCCUUUGCCUUGAUGACAGCUUUGCACACUCUUGGCAUUUUCUCAACCAGCUACACCUGGAGUCUGAUUCACCCCCAGCACUUGCUGUUCCAGUCACAAAAAGACCAGUUUGUGGACCUACUACAGAACGUGAGUGUGUUUAUGUGAUGAUGCACAAUUGUGGCCAGAGGCCCCGUCUGACAACCAUCUUGUCAUAAAGGGUCAAAACAGAUCAGAGAUUUUGUAUUCCCUCAAAGUGGGGACCCAGUCCCUCUGACAUUUAGUGACAACUAUGAAAAAUGUAUGAAAAAUUGCGAAGAAAUGACACUGACAUAGCUUCAAGUAUAUCUGAUGCAGUUUUUUGUUUUUGUUGUCGCAUUUUUGGAAAAAGAGACUCAUUUGAGCAGUGAUGGUUUUCAUUCGUGGAAGAAUACAGGACCAUUUUGAAAGCACAUGAGCAUUGUACUGAGCAUUUACAUGGAGAGUUGGCGCCAUCUUGCGGAAAGAUUGAAAACAGGCACAACCAUUAAUGCAAUCAACCAGACUGGCUGCAAGGUGAAUCGCAUCCUGACAAAGCCUGUGUGAAGAAGUGCUGCCUUGGUUGCUCUGGGUGUUGUCUACUUCAAAGGUCGAUGGAUAACUCAGUUCAGUCAAAGUAGAGGGAUGGAGGACUUCCUGCCAGAUGGGGAGGCACUCACCCACAUUGUCAUGAUGACACAGAACCAUUCACCAGUGAAAUUGGGCUGCACAGUAAAUACAGCCUGUGAAGGUGGCCCACACACUGCCUUCCUUGAGUGCAGCUACUCCACAGACCUGCUGCCUCUGCUCGUUGCCCAGAGUGAGUACUCCUUCAUCCUACCUUAUCCUGUAUUUAUCUGUUUGCAUCUGCCAAUGUGUUUGCAUCUGCCAGGUGGACCUGUUCCAAAACAUCCUAUAGACUACAGUUAAAACUCUUUCCAUAAUGUUUUGAGGAUGGCAAUUAAGGAGAAUGAGAGGCUCAAUUAAAGAUGUUACAGAACUGCUGUAUUUGAAUUACCACUCCCUUCUGCCCUGUUCCCUGAUGUUGCUAUGCCAAUCAAGUUGUUUUUAACCAUCCCUGUAACUGUCGCUUCUGCGGAGAGAUGGUUUUCUAAACUAAAACUCAUAAAGAGCUACCUCAGAAAGAAGCAUUAGGCCCUCGGCCUGAUAUGUGCUUUUGAACACCUCAGUAUGCUCCACUGUGCACUGGCACCAUCGUAGCCUUAACCACGGCAUUUCUUCACCGAAAUCCACUUACUUUCCAUCAGUUCAAUUAGGCCAUUUCAUUUUCAAGGCCUGAGCAGUGGCGAUUUUAGCAUGAAGAUUUUGGUGGGGCAAACUCCCCCCAAAUGUUUUGAUGCAAGUUAGCAAAGCCACUACACAACACAACACUAAACAAUACAUUAAUUGCACUAUAACGGUGACAAAUGGUGCCCACAAACUACAUAAAUCUGUCCCAACUGCAGAGCUUUCUUUUCAGCACCAUGGAGUGAAUCCUUACAUCUGGCUAUGAAUGGAGCCUUGUCUGGCAGCGAAACAGUUAAUCCAGCCUCAUUUACUGCCAUUUUAAAAAACAUAGCUGAUAUGGCUGACUUGCUUAAACAAAUGUGGAUUCUACUGACAUUUGAGAUGUGUGUCAGUUGAUAAGAGGCAAUCGGUAAUUUCGAUGGAUGUAGUCAAUAUAACUAUUUGUUCAGCACUUUUGAAAUUUACAGGUACAGAAUUCAUAACAUGGACUGUUCUUACAGUAAUCUCCCUGUACACAAGUCAGAACCGUAGGAUAAAUACUUUACUUGGCUUCUCGCGCUCUAGUGACUCCUUGUGGCAGGCCGGGUGCCGGCAGGCUGACUUCGGUUGUCAGCUGAACGGUGUUUCUUCUGACACUUUUGUGCAGCUGGCGUCUUGGGUAAGCAGGCGAGUGUUAAAGAGUGCGGUUUGGUGGGUCACGUUUCGGAGGAUGCAUGACUCAACCUUUGCUUCUCCCAAGCCCGUUGGGGAGUUGCAGCGAUGAGACAAGAUCGUAAUUGAAAUUGGGAGAAAAAAGGGGGAAAAGGGGUAAAAUAUAUUUUUAAACAAGGUUGAAUCAUGGCAUGAGUUCCCGACUUGGAAUUCCGACUUGAAUGACUGUUCAAAAUGUAUUUUCCCAGUCGGGGCUCAUUUUUUCCCUGAGUUCCCAGUUGUCUUGAACUCACUGACGUCUGAGAUUUCCCAGUUCCAAGUUUCCAGUUGUUUUGAAUGCGGCAGAAGUCAUGCUGGAUUGACAGCAUGGCCAAUGAAUUCAACCUUUUAAUUCCCAUGGUGUUGCAUGUGAAUGUUUAUCCUUUUAAGCUUGGAAAAGAGACCCUUAAAGCCAGACUUGGACCACACACCCUCUCCACUGAAUAGCAGGCUAGUGAUUGCUUUGCAACACUUGCAGUUAGCCACUGAUACCUUCCAAACCACUCAUUGUUGAAUUUUAAAUUUCCAAUGUCCAUGUCCAAUGGCUGAUUAGCACCGAUACGUUUUAUCUAUAAUUUCUCUUCAUAUGACAAGGAUUGAACAGGAUUUGCCAGUAGAUUGUUGACUUGAUUCUUGAAGAUGACUGCUUGUCUAGCUUGCUAGCUAAGAUUUUGAAAGUAUUAUGUUGACAUGAUCAGUCCAAUCAAAGCUACAGUAGAUAUGUGAUUUGAUGCCAAGAAAUAAGUACUUAUUGACAUUAAAAAGCUUGAUGACAGACUUUUUGAAGGGUUACUACCUUGCGGGGGCAGCGCAGGUGUCCAGUACGCAGCGCCAGUGCAUGUCAUGGGCUCUGAACUGAUCUAUUUGAUCACUGAAAGAGGUGACAAAGGUGUAUGUAUAGAAUGGAUGAGGAUGGUCCAGAUUUGUCUCGAAUGAACAUUUAGAAUUUCAUUAAUUUGAUAUAUAACUUUUCUAAACACACACAGAUUGGAGAGAAAAAAAACAUUAGGUUAAUGGUACCCUCUUUUGGUCAUUUUGGUUACCCAGAAGUAAAAUUAUCUUGUAAAAGCUUGUCAUUUACUAUUUUUUUUCUUGCUGUUUCAUCUGUCCACAAGAGAUUAGGUUAGAUGAAAUAUUUUCUGAGAAGAUAUAUGACUGAGUCUGAGAUAAUAUAAAAAAACAUUUUAAAGUUAAUGUAACUUUUCCUGCAUAGUAAGGGUCUGUAGUAAUGGGUUUAUAUUUGAAAAGGAAAUCACAGAAUAUUAUUAAAA